rnacentral:rRNA from 1 species
UACAGAGGUGGCAAGCGUUGUUCGGAAUUACUGGGCGUAAAGGGCGCGUAGGCGGUUCGAUAAGUCCCGUGUGAAAGCCCCGGGCUCAACCUGGGAACCGCGCUUGAGACUGGCACGCUCGAGUUCGGGAGAGGAUGGUGGAAUUCCCAGUGUAGAGGUGAAAUUCGUAGAUAUUGGGAAGAACACCGAUGGCGAAGGCAGCCAUCUGGACCGACACUGACGCUGAGGCGCGAAAGCGUGGGGAGCAAACAGG